UUUUUUUCUCGUAGUCCACAGCUCAUAUUCUCCUUCUUGCCUCACUCAUCCCAGGGAGGAAGCCAGAGGGGCCUUGGACAUUGACAGCCACCUCUUUCUGGGUCGAGUUGCAAGGAUAAAAGGAAUAGUAUUUGUUAUCAGGCAGAAGGAGCGAGUGGCAGACUGCAGGAGCUCCAGGACCCUAGGUGACUGACUGUUCCAGACUGGCUGCCCUAGGAGACGCUCUAAGGCAGACAUAAUCGGGACAACUGAAUGUGCAACAUGGGUCCCUGAUGCCCAGAGCUGACCGUGUAAAGGCUUCAAAGUAGAUGCCCAAGCAUCUGAAAAUGAAACAGGGACAGCAGCAGCAGCAGCAGGCUCAUUCAGGCCUUCCUGGAAGAUGAACUAAGAGACAGCAGAUGUGUUGGCUGAGGUUGGAUGGGGUUUCUUCCCACCUAUCUCUCCUCUCUCCUUCCCUCUGCCCACUGCACGUGCAACAACUUUUCUGCCAUCAAAACGUGC
rnacentral:lncRNA from 1 species